CCCCGCCCCGUUUACAGGCGAAGGCGCGAAAACAGUUAGGAAAAAACGACAACUUCUACGAAAUGCUGCAAACGGUAAAGAUAAAGAGGGAAACCAAUCUUGAAUCUUCAUUCCUAAACUGAAGGAUCGGAGCAGUGUCCAUCAUCUGUCCUGAAACUUUUGCCAUUUAUCAUGACCCGUGACGUGAUUGAGCCACCUCAAAGGAUUACCAGACAAAGGCAUCAGCUCAUCGUAUUAAUCCUCUGGAAACUGAUUGGGGGAAAUGGUGAUUUUUCUACUACUUUCAUCUUUUUAUGCACAAUGUUGUAUAAUAAAAUGUUUGCUUAUAUUAAUUAUUAAUUAUUAAUUUUUGGAGCCCCAGCUUUCCAUUUGUUUCAUCCCGGGAUGGGUUCAUUUGAAAAUGCAGACUGCUGAUUUACAGGCUUCAUUUUAAAAGAUCAUAAUUCCUAGCUUAAAAAACACUUAAUACAAAAAGGAAAAAUAUCUAUUGACAGCCUGUGAGUGGGCUGUGGAAGGAACUGAUUUCAUCUGAAGGGCAUUUAGCUUUUCCGUCAGUGAGGCUAUUAAUCAGCAGAUUGAAUUGUACAGGAAGUGAGCAUAAAACACCUGGGCGGGCAGCACAGAGCUUUCAGUUUGACAUGAAAUCAGCCAGAAGAGCCUUCGACAGCCUCUCAGCACAUAGCUGAUUACAACGGACAAAAGGACAAGCACAUAAAAGCACGCAAUGCUGUAAGAUCUGCGUCAAAUUCACCCCAACAAGAUCUCCUUUCUGAAGUGCUGUUGAAAUGGUUUUAUUAGUGGUGCUUGCUAGGACAGACAUCACUAUUGCUAUUGCUUAUACUUGGGGUUAGGCAAUGGAUUUAAUCGUCCCAUGCCAUUUUCGAGCUAUGUGGAUGAUUUAAAUUUGUGAGUUGUGCUCAUUAGUUUUCCAAGUGAUCAGAUCAUCUGCAAUUUUACAAAACAAAAAAGUGUGGCACCACUUGCUACUGUGUACAUAAAAUGUGCAAAUGUAGUUUGUUUGUGCUGUAACUAUUUUUAAAUAUAUAUAUUUUGUCCCUGAAAUAUUGUGGGAUUCUUUAGGUGACUUGUUUAAUUAAUCUAAAAUGACUGGGUAUUGUGGGUUUCUGAUCUUUUCAAUUUUUUUUUAGAUGUUCUGUUCUGACUGAAAUGUGAGUUUUUGUCAACAGGAAUUAAAAGGGCCAUAUGAUGCUUUUUUUGAAGAUCAUUAUUUUGUGUAUUUUGUGUAACAGAAUAUGUUUACAUGCUUUAAUGUUCAAUAAACCAGUUAUUUUUUAGAUACUGUA